AUGAUAGCAGAUGACACGUGUAUUGACAAGGGCCUUCAGGUUGUAACUGCUUUUGCCGGAACAAAAAGGCUCUGGUUAAUACCCGGGGCUCCUGACGGUACCGUAAGAAUAAGCACCGGCUAACUACGUGCCAGCAGCCGCGGUAAUACUUAGGGUGCUAGCGUUAAUCGGAAUUACUGGGCGUAAAGCGUGCGCAGGCGGUGAUGUAAGACAGAUGUGAAAUCCCCGGGCUCAACCUGGGAACUGCAUUUGUGACUGUUGUGCUUGAGUGCGGCAGAGGGGGAUGGAAUUCCGCGUGUAACAUUGAAAUGCGUAAAUAUGCGGAGGAACACCGAUGGCGAAGGCAAUCCCCUGGACCUGCACUGACGCUCAUGCACGAAAGCGUGGGGAGCAAACAGGAUUACAUACCCUGGUAGUCCACGCCCUAAACGAUGUCAACUGGUUGUUGGGUCUUCUCUGACUCAGUAACGAAGCUAACGCGUGAAGUUGACCGCCUGGGGAGUACGGCCGCAAGGUUGAAACUCAAAUGAAUUGAC
rnacentral:rRNA from 1 species